UGAAGGACAGUGCUCUAUCUACUGCACUACCUAGUUACCAUAAGAAAUUCUAGUCCAACAUAUAACUAAGACUUGAAUAUAAUUGGCAUAAGUUAUAAAGGUAUGAUAAACUAAUUUGGGAACUUUCUGAUUUCAACGGAAACUAGGCCUCUUUUGUCAACAUGAGUAGGGUUCUAUCCUGUAAAUGACAACAUUUGUGAAUAAUAAAUACUGAGAGCUUGAUAUCAUCUGACUUUUUUUUUUUUUUGUCAAAUAAAGUGCGAAUUUUAUAUAUGAAGCAAAUAUAAGAAACUAUGACUUACUUAUUGAAAGUAAUGAGAAAAAGUCCAAAAGUCAAUAACUGUUUGGCAUUCUAGAAAAUACACUGGCAAGUUCAGUACCAACAAAUACUCUCUUCUAGUGGCUGAUGAAGUGACCCAACAGUAGUUCAUUUUUGUGGAAGAAAAACAUGAUAGAAAUUGAAUAAUGCUUAAUGUAGGUAAAUAAAAAUAGAGUUAUACAGUUCAAAAUUAUCCAGUUUCAUUAGGAUCCCAUCCCCAUCAAUAGGAUGAGUGUAAUUUGGUUAUCAGGAAGAGUGAGAUUUUCCAAAACAAGAUUAUACAAAUUAUCAUCCUAGAAAUAACCAUAAUAUACCUACCCCUAUAAAAAAUUUAAAAGAAACAAAACAUUAAUAGGAUACUAAAGGGCUUCUUUAAGUCAAUCCUUUAGGCCAUUCAGUUUGUGGCAGCUGGUCAGAGACUCCUUCACACAGGCAGCAGGCAAGAGACAAUAGUGCAAGGGGAAAGCACAUAGAAUCCUCUCUUUUUGGAGCACAAAUACCCCAGUAAAAUGAGUCAUAGUUCCCUGAUAUUGUUCUUCUUUUCUGUUCUAGGUGAAGGAAUUGAAGUCUUUGAUUUAUUGAUUUUGAAAAGUUCAAGAGGGAACCUCAACAUCCCAUGUAGGGUCCUGAUUUGGCCACCUGUUCAGCAUUGUUGCCCAGAAAGAGAAGGAAUGGUCUUGGGGAAUGACCUUCAGGAUGCAGUCCAGUGAUAGCUGAGACGAGACUUAUCUGACAGUCAUUCCACAUGUGUACAUGCCCAGUGCUAGGUAUGUGUAACAUAUGUAUGGAGAAAAAGAGAAUAAAUGUGAAGAAAGGAGAAUUCCAUCAAAAGCUUCAUGUUUCAAGAAUACAACAGGCUGAUUUCAGAAAAGCAUGGAGUGCU